UGACAUUCAUUUCCAUUCAUUCCACAUGUUUAUUAAGAACUGCUAUGUGUCAGCACUUUUCUAGGUCUUGGGAGUACAGCAGUGAAGAAAACAGACAAAAAUGGAACUUGAAUUCCAGCGUGGGUGGAGGGAGACAGACAGUAGAGAAGAUACAUGAUUGAAACGCAUGGUGUAUUAGACGGUGAUAAGUACUAUGGAGACAAAGUGGGAACGAAGAUGGGCAAACUAUGGCCGGAGAAUCUAAGAAACUUGCUGUGGAUUAGAUAAGAGGUGGAACCAGGCUUCUAACCCAAGCUGCCUAACUCCAGAGCUUGUGCUUUUAAAUACUAAGCUGUGUUGAAGAGAUCAGACCCAGGUACUGAAGACUUACACCUCCAGCUAUAAGCAGCCUUCCAAGCCCUGGAGGAAAACCCUGGGUGUGGUGGGAGGGGAGGGAGUGACUCAGACCUUGGCUGGCUUCCCGCUGAGUCACUGCCGAGGGGCCAUGAAAGGAGUCGAGUGGCACUCAGGCUUCACCUCCUCACACUGGUAAAUUCCUGUCUUCUGGGGGAGAUGCCUGGCGGCAGACCCGAACCACACAUCGUUGGUGGACAAGUUCGUCUGACUUUCCUAACAGCUCUGUUGUGGAACCGUGGGUGGGCUCCAUUUCCUGGUGUGGCCCUACAGCCAGCAAGAGGGAACACUCCCGGAAGUUGACUUUCUGCCCAACCUAGCUCUGUAUCCUCCAACGUGUCCUGGAUGGACACAUUCUGUCCCUCGUCAGGCUGGCUGUGUUGCAUCUCAGGUGAACUCUUCAAGAACAGCUGUGUGCUUGCCAUGCCACUACAGAGAGCAAGAUGCAAAGGGCAGCCACACACGUUGCCCUGGGGCUCAUUCUCUUGACAUAGUCAUUCAGGAAGACAGCAAGGAAGAAAUGCUGCCAAAUCAGCGUGGAAUCUUUUUGAAGACAUUGUUAGUGGCGAUUAAACCAACACCUGUGGUGCUAACAAUGCAAAACACUCAAGGGAAAGGAUGACGAGACGGAGAACUGUGACCAAGUUGGUGCACGUGCAGUCAGCUGCAGCUAUAUCACGACUAUCUCCUGGCUGCCUGCAAUUUGAGAUACUGUUGAUUACAACAUACAGCCUUAUUUCAGAGAUGUAAAAAUAUGAAAAAAACGUGUCAUAAGUUUGAUGGAAUACAAUAUUAAAAUUUAAAUGUCCUCGCUAACAGUCAUGUGGUUCCUUAUUUGGUUUUCCGAAAGCCACCGUGGUUCAGAUCAAACCUAUAUAGGUUUUCCUUCUUUUUUUU